CUGAACCUCAGAGAAGCCAAGUACUUUACUCAAGGUCACACAGCCACCAAGCCAGCCCUCCAGCCCAUGGUCUCUGAGCCAAGGAGACCCUGAUCCUUCCCUCCCCUGGACUCAGGGGUCCAGGACCCCCAGCCCUUCCUCUCUCAGAUCCAGGAAUCCAGGCCACCCCCCUUCCUUAGGAUCCAAGAGUCCAGGUCCCCAGUCUCAGCCUUCUCUGACCUGGAAGAGCCUGGUGAAGAUGUCAAACUCAAAGAUGGACACGUGACCACUGCAGUACUUUCCCUCGGGGAAGAGCGCACACAGCUCUGAAUGCAUGUGACUGAAGAUGAGGGCCAGCUUGGCCAGCUGUCGCCUGUGAGGAUGGGCAAGAACCCAGGCUGGACCUUGGAG